ACCACUUCAUGUAUUGAUGUAGGUCAGUGGUUAUGCCAUGCAAAGCAGUCCUUAAGUCACUUAUAUCUACAUCAGGAGAAUUAAAAUCAAAUACCUCAUCGAUACUUAUAUCAUGUAUGUUUAGGCUUUGUUUGUCCUUUGCAUGUUUGGCCAUUAAGCACAGAUUGGCCAUAUGUGGUUCUUCCUCAUAUCCGGAGUCUGCAUUUGAGUCAUUAUCUG
rnacentral:lncRNA from 1 species